rnacentral:tRNA from 1 species
GCCCCAGUAGCUCAGUCGGCAGAGCGUCACCUUGGUAAGGUGAAGGUCGCGAGUUCAAGCCUCGCCUGGGGCU